CCUGGACUCUGGGAUAAGCGCUGGAAACGGCGUCUAAUACUGGAUAUGAGCUCUCAUCGCAUGGUGGGGGUUGGAAAGAUUUUUCGGUCUGGGAUGGGCUCGCGGCCUAUCAGCUUGUUGGUGAGGUAAUGGCUCACCAAGGCGUCGACGGGUAGCCGGCCUGAGAGGGUGACCGGCCACACUGGGACUGAGACACGGCCCAGACUCCUACGGGAGGCAGCAGUGGGGAAUAUUGCACAAUGGGCGGAAGCCUGAUGCAGCAACGCCGCGUGAGGGAUGACGGCCUUCGGGUUGUAAACCUCUUUUAGCAGGGAAGAAGCGAGAGUGACGGUACCUGCAGAAAAAGCGCCGGCUAACUACGUGCCAGCAGCCGCGGUAAUACGUAGGGCGCAAGCGUUAUCCGGAAUUAUUGGGCGUAAAGAGCUCGUAGGCGGUUUGUCGCGUCUGCUGUGAAAUCCCGAGGCUCAACCUC
rnacentral:rRNA from 1 species